ACAACUUUUAACGGUGGAUCUCUUGGCUCGUGCAUCGAUGAAGAACGCAGCCAGGUGCGAUAAGUAGUGUGAAUUGCAGAAUUCAGUGAAUCAUCGAAUCUUGAA
rnacentral:rRNA from 1 species